AGUUUGAUCUCAGACUGCUGUGCUAGCAAUCAGCGAGAUUCUGUGGGCGUAGGACCCUCCAAGCCAGGUGUGGGAUAUAGUCUCGUGGUGCACCGUUUUUUAAGCCGGUCUGAAAAGCGCAAUAUUCGGGUGGGAGUGACCCGCUUUUCCAGCAGUAGAAAACAGAUGAAUACACCUAGAUUUCUUCCUGCGUGAAUCCAGUUGAGGGGAAGGUAUAAAAUUUUCAAAUGGAGGAGUAUACCUGAACCUAAUCAUGGAUGUGAUUUUAUGUAAGUAAUAUGUGAGAUACAGAUAAGCUGAUUCUAAAACUUACAAGAAUGGCAAAGAAACAAGAAGAGCUUAAACUGCAAUCAUCAACAGAGAAGCUUUCUGCAACCAAAGUGAAGACUGAAGCCUUAGGCUAUGGCAGAAGUUGGGCGCCUGAAGUACACGUGGAAAUAUGCCAACUGAACAUUGGACUACCACUAACCUGGAUUCUUCCAUCUUUUGAAGUGGAAACUGUCCUAACCCCAUAACCUCGACAUCACUAGACAGGGUCUGGCUUUGUUGCCCUGGUCUUGAACUCCUG
rnacentral:lncRNA from 1 species